CGCGACCGACCUUAGCUCAGUUGGUAGAGCGAGAGACUAUAGUGCUGAGUCAGACGUCUCUAGGUCGCUGAUUUGAAUCCGGCAGGUCGGAC